UCAUUUUUAUACGACCGCAAAAAUUAAAAAUUUUUUGGUCGUAUAUUGGUAUGACGUUGGCGUCGUCGUCGUCGUCCGGCGUCGUCGUCCGAAGACACAUUGGUUUUCGCACUCUAACUUUAGUUUAAGUGAAUGGAUCUCCAUGAAAUUUCACCAUAAGGUUCAAUACCACGAAAGGAAGGUUGGGAUUGAUUUUGGGGGUUAUGGUACCAACAGUUAAGGAAUUAGGGGCCAAAAAGGGGCCAAAAAUAAGCAUUUUUGUAACUUUCAGACAAUAACUUGUGUGUAAGUGUAUGGAUCUCUCUGACAUUGUACCACAAGGUUCCAUAUCACAAAGGGAAGGCUGUAAUUGAUUUUGGGGGUAAUUGCCUCAAAAUUUUAGGAAUUAGGGGCCAAAAAAGGGGCAAAAAACAAGCAUUUUUCUAGUUUCAUGACAAUAACUUGUGUGUAAGUGUUUGGAUAUUUCUGAAAUUGUACUACAAGGUACCAUAUCACAAAGGGAAAGCUGGAAUUGAGUUUGGGGGUAAUUGCCCGAAACGUUUAGGAAUUGGGGGCCAAAAAGGGGCCAAAAAUAAGCAUUUUUCUAGUUUCCAGACAAUAACUUGUGUUCAAGUGUAUGGAUCUCUCUGAAAUUGUACUGCAAGGUACCAUACCACAAAGGGAAGGCUGGGAUUGAGUUUGGGGGUGAUGAAUCAUAAGGGGGUUCAAAAAAUUUGGGGGGGGGGAUUUUUUUUUUUUUUUUUUUUUCUUUUUUUCCUUUUUUUUUUCUUUUAAAAUUUUCCAUUUUAAGUUGGUUAUUUCUGAUUUAUAUUUAAAAGCAAAUAAUAAUGAUAUGGUAGGAGAUACACACCAAACAGGAUGUGUAAAUUAUUAUAUAAUAAGUAUUGUGCAAUAGCAAGAAAUUUUCAAUUGCACAGUAUUGCACAAUAGCAAGAAAUCUUCAAUUGCACAGUAUUGCGCAAUAGCAAGAAAUCUUCAAUUGCACAGUAUUGCGCAAUAGCAAGAAAUAUCCAAUAGCACAAUAUUGCGCAAUAGCAAGAAAUUGUCAAUUGUACAGUAUUGCGCAAUAGCAAGAAAUAUUCAAUUGCACAGUAUUGUGCAAAAGAAGAUACUUCGUAUAAAUUGCUUAUUUCUUGAUCAAUUUCAAUGGGGUUUUAUUCUUGAAUUCUUGGGGUUCUUUAAUAUGCUGAAUCUAACCGUGUAUUAAGUUUUUGGAUUUUGGGCCCCGUUUUUAAAUUGGUCCACAUUGAGGUCCAAAGGGUCCAAAAUUUAACUUUGUUUGAUUUCAUCAAAAAUUGAAUUAUUGGGGUUCUUUGAUAUGCAGAAUUUAACCGUGUAUUUAGAUUUUUAAUUUUGGGUCCCGUUUUUAUACGACCGCAAAAAUUGAAAAUUUUUUGGUCGUAUAUUGGUAUGACGUUGGCGUCGUCGUCGUCGUCGUCGUCGUCGUUGUCGUCGUCGUCGUCGUCGUCGUCCGGCGUCGUCUGGCGUCGUCCGAAGACACAUUGGUUUUCGCACUCUAACUUUAGUUUAAGUGAAUGGAUCUCCAUGAAAUUUUACCAUAAGGUUCAAUACCAUGAAAGGAAGGUUGGGAUUGAUUUUGGGGGUUAUGGUACCAACAGUUAAGGAAUUAGGGGCCAAAAAGGGGCCAACAAUAAGCAUUUUUGUAACUUCCAGACAAUAACUUGUGUGUAAGUGUAUGGAUCUCUCUGACAUUGUACCACAAGGUUCCAUAUCACAAAGGGAAGGCUGUAAUUGAUUUUGGGGGUAAUUGCCUCAAAAUGUUAGGAAUUAGGGGCCAAAAAAGGGGCAAAAAACAAGCAUUUUUCUAGUUUCAUGACAAUAACUUGUGUGUAAGUGUUUGGAUAUUUCUGAAAUUGUACUACAAGGUUCCAUAUCACAAAGGGAAAGCUGGAAUUGAGUUUGGGGGUAAUUGCCCGAAACAUUUAGGAAUUGGGGGCCAAAAAGGGGCCAAAAAUAAGCAUUUUUCUAGUUUCCAGACAAUAACUUGUGUUCAAGUGUAUGGAUCUCUCUGAAAUUGUACUGCAAGGUACCAUACCACAAAGGGAAGGCUGAGAUUGAGUUUGGGGGUGAUGAAUCAUAAGGGGGUUCAAAAAAUUUUGGGGGGGGGAUUUUUUUUUUUCUUUUUUUCCUUUUUUUUUUCUUUUAAAAUUUUCCAUUUUAAGUUGGUUAUUUCUGAUUUAUAUUUAAAAGCAAAUAAUAAUGAUAUGGUAGGAGAUACACACCAAACAGGAUGUGUAAAUUAUUAUAUAAUAAGUAUUGUGCAAUAGCAAGAAAUUUUCAAUUGCACAGUAUUGCACAAUAGCAAGAAAUCUUCAAUUGCACAGUAUUGCGCAAUAGCAAGAAAUCUUCAAUUGCACAGUAUUGCGCAAUAGCAAGAAAUCUUCAAUUGCACAGUAUUGCGCAAUAGCAAGAAAUAUCCAAUAGCACAAUAUUGCGCAAUAGCAAGAAAUUGUCAAUUGUACAGUAUUGCGCAAUAGCAAGAAAUAAUCAAUUGCACAGUAUUGUGCAAAAGAAGAUACUUCGUAUAAAUUGCUUAUUUCUUGAUCAAUUUCAAUGGGGAUUUAUUCUUGAAUUCUUGGGGUUCUUUAAUAUGCUGAAUCUAACCGUGUAUUAAGUUUUUGGAUUUUGGGCCCCGUUUUUAAAUUGGUCCACAUUGAGGUCCAAAGGGUCCAAAAUUUAACUUUGUUUGAUUUCAUCAAAAAUUGAAUUAUUGGGGUUCUUUGAUAUGCCGAAUCUAACCGUGUAUUUAGAUUCUUAAUUUUUGGUUCUGUUUUCAAAUUGGUCUACAUAAAGGUCCAAAGGGUCCAAAAUUAAACUUAGUUUGAUUUCAACAAAAAUUGAAUAUAUGGGGUUCUUUGAUAUGCUGAAUCUAACCAUGUAUUUAGAUUUUUGAUUAUGGGCCCAGUUUUCAAGUUGGUCCAAAUCGGGGUCCAAAAUUAAACUUUGUUUGAUUUCAACAAAAAUUGAAUAUAUGGGGUUCUUUGAUAUGCUGAAUCUAACCAUGUAUUUAGAUUUUUGUUUUUGGGCCCAGUUUUCAAGUUGGUCCAAAUCGGGGUCCAAAAUUAAACUUUGUUUGAUUUCAACAAAAAUUGAAUAUAUGGGGUUCUUUGAUAUGCUGAAUCUAACCAUGUAUUUAGAUUUUUGAUUGUUGGGCCCCGUUAUCAACUUUGUCCACAUUGAGAUCAAAAGGGUCCAAAAUUAAACUUUGUUUGAUUUCAUCAAAAAUUGAAUAUAUGGGGUUCUUUGAUAUGCUGAAUCUAACCAUGUAUUUAGAUUUUUGAUUAUGGGCCCAGUUUUCAAGUUGGUCCAAAUCGGGGUCCAAAAUUAAACUUUGUUUGAUUUCAACAAAAAUUGAAUAUAUGGGGUUCUUUGAUAUGCUGAAUCUAACCAUGUAUUUAGAUUUUUGAUUAUGGGCCCAGUUUUCAAGUUGGUCCAAAUCGGGGUCCAAAAUUAAACUUUGUUUGAUUUCAACAAAAAUUGAAUAUAUGGGGUUCUGUAAUAUGCUGAAUCUAACGGUGUAUUAAGUUUUUGGAUUUUGGGCCCCGUUUUAAAAUUGGUCCACAUUGAAGUCCAAAGGGUCCAAAAUUUAACUUUGUUUGAUUUCAUCAAAAAUUGAAUUAUUGGGGUUCUUUGAUAUGCCGAAUCUAACCGUGUAUUUAGAUUCUUAAUUUUUGGUUCCGUUUUCAAAUUGGUCUACAUAAAGGUCCAAAGGGUCCAAAAUUAAACUUAGUUUGAUUUUAACAAAAAUUGAAUUUUUAGGGUUCUUUGAUAUGCUGAAUCUAAACAUGUAUUUAGAUUUUUGAUUAUGGGCCCAGUUUUCAAGCUGGUCCAAAUCAGGGUCCAAAAUUAAACUUUGUUUGAUUUCAACAAAAAUUGAAUAUAUGGGGUUCUUUGAUAUGCUGAAUCUAACCAUGUAUUUAGAUUUUUGAUUUUUGGGCCCCGUUAUCAACUUUGUCCACAUUGAGGUCGAAAGGGUCCAAAAUUAAACUUUGUUUGAUUUCAUCAAAAAUUGAAUUCUUGGGGUUCUUUGAUAUGCUGAAUCUAACCAUGUAUUUAGAUUUUGGAUAUUGGACCAUAAUAGGUGAAUGUCCAAUUUAAAAUUUUUAAGUUCUUAGACCACAUUCAUUCUGUGUCAGAAACCUAUGCUGUGUCAAAUAUUUAAUCACAAUCCAAAUUCAGAGCUGUAUCAAGCUUGAAUGUUGUGUCCAUACUUGCCCAAACUGUUCAGGGUUCGACCUCUGCGGUCGUAUCAAGCUGCGCCCUGCGGAGCAUUUUAUUUAAAUUGGUCUACAUUAAGGUCCAAAGGGUCCAAAAUUAAACUUAGUUUGAUUUUAACAAAAAUUGAAUUUUUGGGGUUCUUUGAUAUGCUGAAUCUAAACAUGUGUUUAGAUUUUUGAUUAUGGGACCAGUUUUCAAGUUGGUCCAAGUUGGGGUCCAAAAUUAAACUUUGUUUGAUUUCAACAAAAAUUGAAUAUAUGGGGUUCUUUGAUAUGCUGAAUCUAAACAUGUAUUUAGAUUUUAGAUUUUUGGCCCAGUUUUCAAGUUGAUCCAAAUUGGGGUCCAAAAUUAAACUUUGUUUGAUUUCAACAAAAAUUGAAUAUAUGGGGUUCUUUGAUAUGCUGAAUCUUACCAUGUAUUUAGAUUUUUUAUUUGUGGGCCCGCUAUCAAAUUGGUUCAUAUUGAGGUCAAAAGGGUCCAAAAUUAAACUUUGUUUGAUUUCAUCAAAAAUUUAAUUAUUGGGGUUCUUUGAUAUGCCAAAUCUAACCGUGUUUUUAGAUUUUUAAUUUUGGGUCCCGUUUUUUAAAUUUGUCUACAUUAAGGUCCAAAGGGUCCAAAAUUAAACUUAGUUUGAUUUUAACAAAAAUUGAAUUCUUUGGGUACUUUGAUAUGCUGAAUCUAAACAUGUGUUUAGAUUUUUGAUUAUGGGACCAGUUUUCAAGUUUGUCCAAGUUGGGGUCCAAAAUUAAACUUUGUUUGAUUUCAACAAAAAUUGAAUAUAUGGGGUUCUUUGAUAUGCUGAAUCUAACCAUGUAUUUUGAUUUUGGACAUUGGACCAUAAUAGGUAAAUUAAAAAAAUUGAAGUUCUUAGACCACAUUCUUUCUGUGUCAGAAACCUAUGCUGUGUCAAAUAUUUAAUCACAAUCCAAAUUCAGAGCUGUAUCAAGCUUGAAUGUUGUGUCCAUACUUGCCCCAACUGUUCAGGGUUCGACCUCUGCGGUCGUAUCAAGCUGCGCCCAGCGAAGCAUUUUAUUAUAAA